rnacentral:rRNA from 1 species
CGCUCUUNGUAGUAAUGAAAUAAGAUGGAGAGUCGGACCUGCCCAGUGACGUAGUGUUAAACGGCCGCGGUACUCUGACCGUGCAAAGGUAGCAUAAUCACUUGCCUUUUAAUUGGAGGCUUGUAUGAAUGGUUUGACGAGAGCUAAGCUGUCUCCUUUUUAAAUAUUUAGAAAUUAAUUUAUAGGUGAAGAGGCCUAUAUAUAUUUGAGGGACAAGAAGACCCCGUUGAGUUUGAGUGAAAUUAAAAAUAAAAGUGUUAUCUGUGGUUUACUGAAUUAUAGAUGGUAAUAGUUGUAUUGUAUAUAGAUUAAGUUUUUCUUUAAUCUUUAGUUGGGGCGACUGAGGAGCAUGGGAAGCUUCCUUUAAUGAGUUGUGACUAGCUGGUUAGUUUGAUCCAGUUUUUAUUGAUCAAAGGAAAAAAUUACCACGGGGAUAACAGCGUAAUCUUUUUGGAGAGUUCUUAUCGAAGAAAGGGUUUGCGACCUCGAUGUUGGACUAAGAUAUCCUAGAGGUGUAGAAGCUUCUGAAGGUUGGUCUGUUCGACCAUUAAAAUCUUACG